AGACCUGCAGGGUUAGAUCCUGGUUUGUAAAUGUAAAGGGCUGGAGAAUCGCUGAUCCCCCCCCACUCUGCCCCAGCCAGCGUCCCUUGUGGUCCGCAGGUGGGUGGUGCCUGGACACAGAGCACAGGGACCCCACAGCCACCACCUCUGGGGACACCCCAGGGUGGCCGUGCCGGGGCAGCACCUGGCCUUGCAGGGUUGACAGAUGCUCAGCCCUGGGAGCAAAGCCCCUGUGAAACCCCCAGCAGAGCCCUGGUCACACAUGGCUUCCCAGGGCUGGGAGUGACCUCUGCCUGGGCAGACGCCAGCCAUCUGGCUUUGUGCCUCUGCUCCCACAGGGCUCAAAUCUGGAAGAUUUGGGCAAGAAGCACACCUUCUGGGGGAGCGGAAACUGCAAAUCUGCCGAG